UUGAACGCUGGCGGCAUGCCUUACACAUGCAAGUCGAACGGUAGAGGGGCAACCCUUGAGAGUGGCGAACGGGUGAGUAAUAUAUCGGAACGUGCCCAGUCGUGGGGGAUAACGCAGCGAAAGCUGCGCUAAUACCGCAUACGAUCUAUGGAUGAAAGCGGGGGAUCGCAAGACCUCGCGCGAUUGGAGCGGCCGAUAUCAGAUUAGGUAGUUGGUGGGUAAAGCCCACCAAGCCGACGAUCUGUAGCUG
rnacentral:rRNA from 1 species